rnacentral:rRNA from 1 species
AAUAGAUACCCCGGUAGUCCAUGCCGUAAACGAUGUCUACUAGCCGUUGGGGCCCUUGAGGCUUUAGUGGCGCAGCUAACGCGAUAAGUAGACCGCCUGGGGAGUACGGUCGCAAGACUAAAACUCAAAUGAAUUGACGGGGGCCCGCACAAGCGGUGGAGCAUGUGGUUUAAUUCGAUGCAACGCGAAGAACCUUACCUGGCCUUGACAUACAGAGAACUUUCCAGAGAUGGAUUGGUGCCUUCGGGAACUCUGAUACAGGUGCUGCAUGGCUGUCGUCAGCUCGUGUCGUGAGAUGUUGGGUUAAGUCCCGCAACGAGCGCAACCCUUUUCCUUAUUUGCCAGCACUUCGGGUGGGAACUUUAAGGAUACUGCCAGUGACAAACUGGAGGAAGGCGGGGACGACGUCAAGUCAUCAUGGCCCUUACGGCCAGGGCUACACACGUGCUACAAUGGUCGGUACAAAGGGUUGCUACUGCGCGAGCAGAUGCUAAUCUCAAAAAGCCGAUCGUAGUCCGGAUCGCAGUCUAA